GGAAGCGUGGUUUCCUUCAACUGCGCACAGGAGCUCCUCCCUAGGAACUGUCAUUAAAAUCUGAAACAGGGAGUUCCCAUCGUGGCUCAGCAGUUAACGAAUCUGACUAGCAUCCAUGAGGACGAGGGUUCAAUCCCUGGCCUCGCUCAGUGAGUUAAGGAUCUGGUGUUGCCGUGAGCUGUGGUGCAGGUCACAGACUCGGCUCAGAUCUGAGUGCGGCCCUAAAAAAAAAAAAGGCUUAAUUUAAAAAAUCUGAAACAGGAGGAGUUCUCUUGUGAUGCAGUGGGUUAAAGAUCUGGCAUCGUCACUGCGGCAGCUUGGGUCACUGCUGUAGCGCAAGUUUGAUCCCGGGCCCAGGAACUUGCACACACUGCAGGUACAGCUAAAAGAGAAAAAUAAAAUAAGCAAAAUAAAAUUUGGAAACAGAAUAACAAUGAAAUAAUAUAUAAACUCCUCAUGUCAGGGAACUCUUUAUUCACUAAUAGUGGAAAAAUGGAAGAUUUCUACCUAUUAACCCUCCAGUGCAUCUAGCUCCUCACAGCGAGAAAGUGAUCUGUAAACUCUGCCAAGGUGGCUUGAAAUUUCUACCAACUCAUUUUGUCCUCCCCACAUUCUUCUGCCCCAGUCUGUCUAUCUCAAUGAAUUCUCUCUGUAUUCCUUACAACCGAGACAAUGAUAUGACCCAUGUCUUAAUUCUGGCACUUUCAUUGAAUGAUGCUGCGCCCGAGGCACCAAGAGCAGAAAUGGGAUCUGUUCACCCGCUGGCCCUCGACAGUGUCACUGACACAGCUCCUGGGGUUUUGGUCAUAAAAGAACAUAGGCUCAGGUGUGCAUUCCUUAGGCCGGUCCUACAGCAGCAGAUCUGCGGGCUGAGGCUUGACCAUAGGAGACCAUCGCAGUUGACACUGGUUUGCAGACCCCAGUUUGUAUUCCCUCUUCUCAUCAGGCUCUCCUGAAAGUCUGAUUGCCGUUCAGAGAGACUCGUGAAAGUGGAGUAGCAUCAUGUGUUUUUAAUGUGAGAUCCCGCUUGUACUUUGGGACAAUCUGCCUCAGUCUUUUAGAAACUCUUUGAGGUCUGGUUGCCUUGAAAGAACAUGAACUGAGGUUGAGAACAUCCUGUGGGGUUUUCUCCCCCUCAUGGAUGGAAGGAUCAGUGUAAGUCCAAGAGCCUUUGCAGAAGGAUGAGAAGAUGAGGGUGGAAGCAGAGGCAACCUUCUCAGUUCGCUGGGGGGACUUCACUUGCAGUGUCUGUAAAUGCUCCAGUUCAGCAAGUACCAGCUGCCAGUGCUUCCCUUCUUGUGCCUGUACCACCACAGCGUGCACGGGCACAAACGUGUGCCUCCCCAGAAGUGCCUCUCAGAGCAGCAGGUCUGAAAAGCAUUGGAAGCAGAAACUGGGGUGAAGGCAGGCCGGGUCAGCCCUUUGUCCAUGCUCCAAGAGAUGAGAACCUCGCUUCUUUACUGAUUUCUCUUUCAGAAAUCAGAUGGCCAACAAUCAUUAGAUUUUUGUGCCAUUCAUAGUAUUGGGACUUCUUGGGUUAGCUAUAAAAGUGCCCCCCUUUCAGGUUAAAAAUCAUCUUCUAAUCCAUCUCUGUAGGCACCGUGUGUUUCCUUGCCUUUUAGAAAGCCCAGUUCAGCGUUCCCGUUGUGGCUCAGCAGGUUAAGAGGAUGCAGGUUCAAUCCCUGGCCUCGCUCAGUAGGUUAAGGAUUCAGCAUUGCCACAAGCUAUGGCAUAGGUCACAGAUUUGGCUCGGAUCUGGUGUUGCUGUGGCUGUGGUGUAGGCCAGCAGCUAUAGCUCCAGUUGAGACCCCUAGCCCAGGAACUUCCAGAUGCCUCAGGUGCCACAGUAAAAAGGGGAAAAAAAAAAGCCGAGUUCAUUAUGAUUAGGGAGUCAUUCCCAAGAGCUGACCUGGUAAGCAGCCACACACCUGAGGGUGGGGAACAAAGCUGUUUCCAGUGUGUCUCAGGAGAAAUGAAAACCCCCUCGCUUAAAAAGGGGGGGUGGAGGGAGUGCUUCCACAUCUUUUAUGGAGCCUGGAUUCUCCCACUGCUUCAUGGGCUGUGACUUCCUUAAGCAUACUGGCCGGAAACAUCGUCUUCUAGAUGGAAGGUUAUAUAGCAGCCUGUUGUAUCUGGGAGACACUUCGGGACCCACGUCACGUGUAAGCAAGCCAGAUAGGAGCUUGUCAUAGUGGCCAGCAGAGGACAGGGCGGAAUGUCCCCAGAAUCUAUUUUCCCGUGGGAGGAGAAGGUGGAAUUGACAUUCCCCCACACACACUGGGGAAGGAGGAGGUGUGAUUCUAGAGUUUCUUGGGAGCCUGUUGUUUGCAGGCAGAGAAAGCGUCUGGCAUCUUCAGGUUUCUGAGGUCCAGCGUGCCUCUGUGCGCACGAACCCCUGUCCGCUCUUCCAGGCAAUUUUGGCAGCAACUGUUCAAUGAGGCUCCAACCCUGCUCAGGAGAUCCCAACCCUGUAGUAGGAUCUGGGCCUUGAUUUCUCCCAACCUGCUCAGUGGAGGAGGGGACAGGGGGAUGAUUCAAAAGCCCAGGACUGAGGGGGACAUCCCAGAAACAGGACCAACACAUACGUUUGUUCUUAUUGUUCUAACGUAAGACCUGUUCUCUCUAGCCACUGAUUUUACCAGGCUUUCUAAAAGAUCUCGUGGUAAAUACACACAUGGUACUGAAAACAACCCCUCUACCCAGUGUAAUAAUUUACUGAAGUAUUCAACUCUUCAUUACCUUUAUGAUAGCAAACCUGAUGCUUUUUUUUUAAGAACUUGUUACUCUGACUUCUGUAUAUGUUGCACUGAAAAGGUUAAUAUUUAAUGUUUAAUUUAUUUUGUGUGGUAAGUUAAUUUUGAUUUCUGUAAUGCCUUAAUGUGAUUAGCCAUUCUUUUCCUUAAUAUCUGAAUUAUAGUUAUUUAAAGAGUAGUGAGCGAUAUAAAAUGCAGUUGUGUUUUUCAGUAAUAUGUAUUGUUGUUCAGUUGUACUGUACCUUGUUUGAAAGGAUGAAGGAAUGAACUCUUUUUUUUU
rnacentral:lncRNA from 1 species